GAUGAACGCUGGCGGCGUGCCUAAUACAUGCAAGUCGAGCGAACGGACGAGAAGCUUGCUUAUCUGAUGUUAGCGGCGGACGGGUGAGUAACACGUGGAUAACCUACCUAUAAGACUGGGAUAACUUCGGGAAACCGGAGCUAAUACCGGAUAAUAUUUUGAGCCGCAUGGUUCAAAAGUGAAAGACGGUCUUGCUGUCACUUAUAGAUGGAUCCGCGCUGCAUUAGCUAGUUGGUAAGGUAACGGCUUACCAAGGCAACGAUGCAUAGCCGACCUGAGAGGGUGAUCGGCCACACUGGAACUGAGACACGGUCCAGACUCCUACGGGAGGCAGCAGUAGGGAAUCUUCCGCAAUGGGCGAAAGCCUGACGGAGCAACGCCGCGUGAGUGAUGAAGGUCUUCGGAUCGUAAAACUCUGUUAUUAGGGAAGAACAUAUGUGUAAGUAACUGUGCACAUCUUGACGGUACCUAAUCAGAAAGCCACGGCUAACUACGUG
rnacentral:rRNA from 1 species